CGCGACCCCAGGUCAGGCGGGAUUACCCGCUGAGUUUA
rnacentral:rRNA from 5 species